GGUAUCAAAAGAUGCAGAGCAAGGGGGAUCGGCUACUGGGAGGCGUGCGGUGGUCGUCGCACGGUGCCUGGCAGCGGUGGUGGCUCGGCAACGAAGGAGAGGGGUGGCGUUGAAGUGGCCGAGAAACAGCGCCGGCGGUAGAGGCAACCGGCGCCUGCGGCAGCAGAGGGAUCGGCGGCUGCUCUGUUUCGAUCGCACCACAGAAACAUCGACGCCGACAGAUCGCACGGCCGAAGCUGCAACCAAGGGAAGGCAGCGAUGGCGGUGCGGCUAGGGCAGCGUCGCCGACGGUAUAAGCGGCGAUGGGUGGUCCGCUGGCUGGGAAACGGCGACCGCGGCCCUUCUCGCACGAGCGAGAUGCGGGCAGCGAGGAGACGAGGUGGGAAGGUUGCUGGCCGUUGCACAGCGGCAGCGGUGGGCGCUGGCCGGGGAGCAGCGGCGACGGUGGUCGCCGAGCAGGAAGCAGGGGUGCGUGGCUGCGGUUGCUGCUUCUUCUUUCUUUCUUUCUUUUUUUCUU
rnacentral:lncRNA from 1 species